AUGGCUACCUCUGCCGCAGGCGACGUUGCCGAGCUUGCGAUCACCUCGCUUCCCCUAGAGACGCGGUUCCCGCCGUUCCGUCUGAGGAGGUAUGGUGGGUUCUGGCUGGUGGAGAAGUUCCUCAAGGAUGUUCCAGCCGUCCACUCGGUCUUCAAGACAAGGCCGUCGUAUGUCCUCCUCGGCAGCUUCCCCAAGUGCGGCACCACCUGGCUCAAGGCUCUCGUCUUUGCCACGCGCAACCGGGCUGACCACUCGCCCCAUGACCUCCACCACCCGCGCCGCCGUUGCAACCCCCACGACGUGGUUCGGACAUGGAGCUGGAGUUUGGGCGGUCACUGGAAGACGGUAGAGCAGGCGGCGCGCCGCUUACUCGCCACACACCUGCCCUACUCUCUCCUACCACGGCGCAUCACGGCGGAGGAGUCCGGCUGCUGGAUCGUGUACAUCUGCGACCCAAAGGACGCAUUCAUUUCCUCGUGGUUCUUCACCAAGAAGGAGGCGGCGGCCACGGCUGCUCGAGCACAAGCCGGCGAGUACACGGACAAGCAGCAGACGGCGCCGCCGCGGCACACAUUCGAGGAGGCAUUCGAGCUGUUCUGCGACGGCAAAUGUGUCAACGGCCCGCAGUGGCGCCACGUGCUGGGCUACUUGGAGGAGAGCAUGAGGCGGCCGGAGAAGGUGCUCUUCCUCCGGUACGAGGAGAUGCUCCGGGACCCCGAGAGAAACGUGAAGAAACUGGCGGAGUUCAUGCGGUGCGCCUUCUCCCGCGAGGAGGAGGCCGACGGAGUGGUGCAUGCCAUCGUGGAGCUGUGCAGCCUCGAGAGCCUGAAGAACAUGGCCGUGAACAAGAUUGGCAGCCAUGCAUGGCUGGCGCACCAGUCCUUCUUCAGGUAGGGUGUGGUUGGGGACUGGAGCAACCACAUCACGCCGGUGAUGGCGAAGCAGCCGGAUAAGAUCAUCGAGGAGGCACUGCAAGGCUCGGGGUUCAGCUUCGCCGUCGCAGAGUCGUCCUCGUGA
rnacentral:rRNA from 1 species